UUGUCCAUUUAAAGCCACCCAUGCUUUGUAAUGGUUAACACAGGGGGGCAGAGCAUUUUCCUCACUAAAACGCAGUUUGGAGGCUCGUACCCUCCUCUCUGUAUCCUGUCGUGAGGUACAUCU